GAAAAUCUGCUUCCGAUAGCAGCGUGGAUACUGAUGAAGAUCAGAUCAUCUUCAUCAUUCCUUCUGACACAUACUACAGUGUUACCACUUAUUUCAUGUUUCACAAGUCACUUGGUAAGGAAAACUAAAAGUUAAGUUAUCCUUAAUUAUUUAGAGAACGCCAGUAUAAGCAGAUGACAGCAGACAGUUAAAACUCUACCCGAUUCACAUUACAAACCCUUUGCUGAUUCUGCGAAACCAGAAAGUCUUCAGAUUACUAUCAGCAAGAACUUUCUUCUCAAACUUUUGAACUACCAGAACUACCAGUUAUAAAUAAAGAACUUGUGUUCUUUUAUCUUUUCUUUAAAUCCCCAUUUUAAUGAAAUUUCACAAAGAGAUCUCAGAAGACAGCUUUUACAACAUCUUUGAAGAUCGUCAGCAAGAUAGAGAAGAGAUCCAUAGUAAAUUCUGUAUUGAAAGGAAAAAGCAACAGCACAAAUUUAUCACUUACACACCAGAGAACCUGUAUGGGAGAGAGGUUUUGUUGGAAGCUUUCUGCCUAUUCAUAUUCCAUUCAGGCUUAAAUACCUUAAAAAGAAGCACUUAUUUGUGGAAAAGGCCAAGAUCCUCUCAGAUACGUGGAAUGGAAGAUAAAAGGCUCAAAGUAGAAAACAAAACCCCCUCAUCUAGUGACCCAGAUCUACCCUAUUAACAGAUGCACAAAUUGGAUCAGACAGAAAUCUGAAAUUGCCAUUGAGACCAUACAGACUGUUUCUUACCACGUAUCUGCAGCAAACACAUGUAUAUUUGCAGUUUUCUGUCACUGUUAGCUGUUAUGGUUAUGUGACUGAACGUGACUGAGAUUACAGGCGAAACCACAAGGAGAAAUGUUAGCAUCUACAUAGCAGUGGCCUUUUGUAGUUACAUGUUUUUAAUGUUGUGAAAUGAUUUUUGAAAAAUGCAUAGUUUUAAAAUACAUUUUCUUCAGGGAUGAAGCCAAGUUAAGAACGGUUUGUACAACUACUAGUUUCCACCCUCAGGCCACACUAUGUUGCUCUCAGAGACCAACCAAAUUACUGCAUUGCAAACUGACUGCCAAAAUGAUCUGAGGUUUUUCUGGUUGCCUUAAGCAGAGUUGUGGUUUUCUGUUUUUUUUUGUUUUGGUGUGAAGGGGCUUUUCCAUUUAAAUUUUCCUAAUUGGGAUAGUUGCAUUAUUUCAGCUCACUCCUUUUGCUUAGAAUUGCCUGCAGAGUUUAUAUGGUCAUAGGACUUCGGUUCACACAUAGAAUAUUUGUUUCUCGAUCCUGGAAACUGGGGGGAAAAAAAAUACUAAAAUGCUAAAGUAUGACUAAAAACAUUUUAAAAAACAACAUAGUAGGCUUUAACUUCUGCUGAGGAGGCUGUGAAGUAGAUCUAAUGAUGCUUGAUUCAUAGUAACCUAUUCAAAAGCACGUCUCCAGAAAAUCCUGUAGCAAUGUUUUGUACAACUCAAAUAACAAUUUUAUGUCACAGCUGAGCACUCUAUGUGGAGACUUGCAAAAUAUUUGUAAGUCGGAGUUAAAAAAACAGUGACAACUCUGCUAACCAACCAGCCAUUUGUCCCAGGAGAGCAAGCAAACAGCAGGACGAAAAGAGGAACUAAGAGUACUUGUGGGGUAGCUCUUUCAUCACAUGAUGUAGCUAUAGCCUGAUGGUUGCACAUCUUUUCUCCAUCACUUAGACAAUGGUACUGUUAUUAUUGCGUACCGGCACUAAAAAUAGUAAAUGUUUUGUGUUUUCUUCUCAAUGUAAUGUGCAUAGUCCCUAAACGUGACUUCAGUGCUUUUUUUCCUGUUUUGCUUAGGAUCAUUAAUGUGAUCUGAGUUUUACUCCAUCAAAAACUAAAUUAACUCAAUGCCUGAAUGUACAUUUGCUCAAUUUUCCUGAGUUUUGCCAUGUGCGCUUGUUUUCAGUCAUAACGCAAAAUAUUUUUGUAAUGUUCUGCCUGCUGCUCUUGAGUCUUAGACAUCAGUCCAAUGUAAAAGCUUUACUGAAGAAGAUUUGGCUAAAGAAGUAUGAGUAGUAUUGUAGCAAAUUCAGAAAAUUCAAGUAAAAAAAGCUCUUGAGCACUUAAGAGUUAUGCUGAACAAAUAGUGCUACAGAGUUUGGAUUAAAAACUCUUACAUUUGUGCAGAGAUGUCAGCCAGUUAGAAAUUAUUUUCUCCGACUCUGGAAUGACUGACCUUUCUGCUCCAGUUAUGGGUGCUGCUUAAUACAGACAAAUAAAGACAGCACAGAAAAACAGAACGGCCAUUAGGGCUAACUGAAGAGAAGAAAAAAACAGAUCUGAGCAUUUCUUCUUAACUGAAACUGGCAAAUUGUUAAACUGUUGCUGUAGAAUGAUGCACUGUAAAUUAUAAACUGACUUAGUUGGAAAUAUUACAUUGCCUGUCACUGCAAAUAAGUGAUUAAAUUCAUGAUUACUUGAUUAAUUUCAUAAUUUCUAAGUUAUGUGUGGUUAAGAUAGCAUAAACUAUGCCCAAAUAUUUACUGUUAAAAUUAGCAAAAUGAAAUAAAAGGAAAACUUGUAAUAAAAAGAAGAGGUGCAUCCCAAAGGAAAGUUUAGAACUGAGCAGCUUGACAGAGCUGGUCUAUUUUAU